rnacentral:lncRNA from 1 species
CUUUAUUUAACUAGGCAAGUCAGUUAAGAACAAAUUCAAAUUCUUAUUUACAUUGUGCGCUGCCCUAUGAGACUCCCAAUCACGGCCAGAUGUGAUACAGCCUGGAUUCGAAUUAGGGACUGUAGUGACACCUCUUGCACUGAAACGGCGUCAACACCAUAACACCACAGCUAGCUAGCCAACUUUACCAAUUAGCAGUACUGUAGAAACUACAUACAUUACAACGGAACGAUUUGACUAGUGUAAUGUUAGCUAGCUACAUAGUUGUCUUUGUAUCAAGAUAAAGGCGUAGUACUGAGUAACUAUCGAGGUUAGCUAGCCAGUUACAUUUUCUAACAUAGUCAACAACGCGCCCACUGCUAGCUAGCUAACCCUACCAGCUAGCUGUAUCAUUUUUAGUCAAUAAGAAUUUUGCAACGUAAGCUUAACUUUCUGAACAUUCGAGAUGUGUAGUCCACUUGUGUAGCUAGCAGGACUGACUUUGUGUUAGCUAGCCAACGUUUAAUUACUUAUGCGUUAUGAACUAGACACGGACACGAAUGAUCCAUUGGUAGCUUGUUGUUACCAAGUAUUGGUGCUAACCGUGUGUUAUAGGAUGCUAGUUAGCUAGUUAGCUACGGCAUCAUAGGACACGGUGCACUAGGUGGGUUUUCACGGAAGAAUACUGUACCAAGUUAUCUAGCGGAAUAAACUAAGUUUGAGCCUAUUCCUGGAAACAUUGAACCACUGUAGUUUACAUCAAUGUUAAUUUCUAGUGGUAGCUAGAAAAGUUAUAUUUUAGCGUUUUAGUGUUUCAGUGAAUUGUUAGUGAGGGAGGCCCUGCUCUCUCGCCUCCCCAGUUGUUUAGUUAAUUUUCAUGCCAAUCUCCUUUGCAUUAGCGUAGCCUCUCCUGUAGCCUAUCAACGAUGUGUCGGUCUAUCCCUGUUCUCCCCUCUCUGCACAGGGAUAGGCAGACACAUAGUAGACAAGCUACAGAAGAGGCUACGCUAAUGCAAAUGAGAUUGGAGUGACAAGUGGACUACACGUCUCGAAUGUUCAGGAAGUUAAGCUUACGUUGCAAAAAUGUUAUUGACAAAAAUGAUACAGUACUGCUGGCUGGUGGAGUAGGCUAGCUAGCAGUGGCUGCGUUGUUGACUUUGAACGUGUAGCUGGCUAGGUAACCUCGGUAGUUUCAGUACUACACCUUGUCAUGAUACAAAGCAACUUUGUAGCUAGCUAGCUAACAUAACACUAAUCAAGACGUUCC